rnacentral:lncRNA from 1 species
CUACAAAGUAGUAUUGAAAACUCAGGAUGGGGUGGAGGGGUAUUUCCCUUCCUCUGAAAUUCCUCCCCCAAAUAUGCAUACUGUUAAACCAUCCCUAGCAGGGAUUACUUUUAUCUCCAGCUCAUGAAGAAACUUUUGAAGAGCUUUUUGCUUUUGUCCUUGGAAUAUAUCACAUUGAGCAAAAUGGCAUGUGAAACAUUUUCUUGAAAAAGGAGAUUGAACGGUUCCCGUCAUGUGCAUUCUUUGUCCUUCCUUUGCCAGUGUCAAAGUUGUUGUGCAGGAAUAUAGGGCACCUGCAUUUAUGUUUAAGUAGUUGAAAGAAAGUGAGCACUGUUGAAGAUCAUCAAGCUACUGGAGAUGUACACAGAACUGCUAAAUUGCAUAUCCUGCAUGUAAGACAGAAAAUAUGUCUGGUGUCAUGUUCUCUGAGGGUUAUGGACUGAAGCUUCGACUAAGGAAGAUUAUGAACAAAGGCCAAUAUCCACAGAGGUCAGAACCAAUAACGGAGAGAUGA